UCAACGCUCCCUCUCCCAACUGACCCUUCAACGCUCAAUCUUCAAUCGGACAUCUUCACAAUGUUCGUUCAGUUGUUCUUUCUUCACGGUGGUUAUUCAAUCGAUAGUUCCUCUCCUUCUCGAGUAUCAACAACACUUAUUCGGUCGUUCAUCGUGAAUUGAUCGUUAUUCUCCAUCGUGCCUUUGACAAUCGCUCCAUAUGAUCUUCUGCUUCAACAGAUUAAGAGAGAGAUAUCUAUAAUGAAGCUGAGUGUGAUGUUGAUAUUCGGAGAGAGCAUAAAUAAGUGACGUUGAUAUUCGGAGAGAACUAUUCAGCGAUAUCUUGCUUGCUGGUGGCACAACAUCAAUGCAACAAUUGAAUGAACGUCUUGAGAAAGACUUGCUGGAGGCUAUUCAAUUUCACAGCUCAUCAUGCAUGCAUAUAGUAUCACUUUUUGCAAAUAUAAAAUCAAAAGUUUGCGUUACUUUCUAGUUUUGACCCUUAAGGCCAAUAAUAUGAUGUCAAACAAAUCUGAAAACUGAAAAGUAUGAUGACAUAAAAGAAUUGAAAUUACUUGUAGACCAAAUGUAUCGUUAACACAUAGAAUGCUCUAAAUCUAUUUGGUUAAAAUACUAGAUUAUUAAACUAAUAUUAGUUAUAAAUUUUGCACAAAAAGUGUUUGUAGUCUCAAAAGUUAUCUGCCCAUUUACAUGCUUGCAGGACCCCCCCCCCUCCCUCCCCCCAGAAGAAUUAUGUUUGGUUUUAAGCUCUGAUGGAAACUGGGAAACGACAAAUAUUAUAUCUGAUCUGUAUCACUUAUUGCAUUUUCUGAAACAAAAGAUGAAUCAAAACUUUUUCGACAAUGUUCUUCGGGUUUAGAGACAAUUGCAGCAAUCUCUAUGUAACCACAAGGAAUAGUACAUAUUGGGUCCAUUAAUAAGGUCAUUUGUUCCAUCAGUUUGUUGCUGCUCAAUAAUAAUUGAUGACUACAAGAAGUAAAAUACUGAUUAAAGACGUGGUCUGUAAAUCAACACAAAGCAAGAAGAUAAUUGGAAACUGCUGCUAACUGAAUAAUCGUGGGAGAGAGAGUGUGGAACUGCCAUGAACUGCUGCUUCUAGAAGGAAUUUAGAGACUUUAAACGGCUGAGAUUAAAAGUUGAUGACUUUCUACGGCUGUAAUUAGCCCAAAUAGCAGUUACAAACAACGGGAACAAUAUAAUAUAGAAUGU